CCCUAGCCCUGAUUGCAGCGACAUCCUUUUUGGUGCGGGCGGAGCCCGCGACCAAAAAGAUAUAGCGGAAAGCAGGAAAAAGC
rnacentral:sRNA from 1 species